GGGACACGUGGUAUCCUGUCUGAAUAUGGGGGGACCAUCCUCCAAGGCUAAAUACUCCUGACUGACCGAUAGUGAACCAGUACCGUGAGGGAAAGGCGAAAAGAACCCCGGCGAGGGGAGUGAAAAAGAACCUGAAACCGUGUACGUACAAGCAGUGGGAGCACAGGUUUACCUGUGUGACUGCGUACCUUUUGUAUAAUGGGUCAGCGACUUAUAUUCUGUAGCAAGGUUAACCGUAUAGGGGAGCCGGAGGGAAACCGAGUCUUAAUUGGGCGUUAAGUUGCAGGGUAUAGACCCGAAACCCGGUGAUCUAGCCAUGGGCAGGUUGAAGGUUGGGUAACACUAACUGGAGGACCGAACCGACUAAUGUUGAAAAAUUAGCGGAUGACCUGUGGCUGGGGGUGAAAGGCCAAUCAAACCGGGAGAUAGCUGGUUCUCCCCGAAAGCUAUUUAGGUAGCGCCUCGUGAAUUCAUCUCCGGGGGUAGAGCACUGUUUCGGCUAGGGGGCCAUCCCGGCUUACCAACCCGAUGCAAACUGCGAAUACCGGAGAAUGUUAUCACGGGAGACACACGGCGGGUGCUAACGUCCGUCGUGAAGAGGGAAACAACCCAGACCGCCAGCUAAGGUCCCAAAGUCAUGGUUAAGUGGGAAACGAUGUGGGAAGGCCCAGACAGCCAGGAUGUUGGCUUAGAAGCAGCCAUCAUUUAAAGAAAGCGUAAUAGCUCACUGGUCGAGUCGGCCUGCGCGGAAGAUGUAACGGGGCUAAACCAUGCACCGAAGCUGCGGCAGCGACGCUUAUGCGUUGUUGGGUAGGGGAGCGUUCUGUAAGCCUGUGAAGGUGUGUCGUGAGGCAUGCUGGAGGUAUCAGAAGUGCGAAUGCUGACAUAAGUAACGAUAAAGCGGGUGAAAAGCCCGCUCGCCGGAAGACCAAGGGUUCCUGUCCAACGUUAAUCGGGGCAGGGUGAGUCGACCCCUAAGGCGAGGCCGAAAGGCGUAGUCGAUGGGAAACGGGUUAAUAUUCCCGUACUUGGUGUUACUGCGAAGGGGGGACGGAGAAGGCUAUGUUGGCCGGGCGACGGUUGUCCCGGUUUAAGCGUGUAGGUGUGUGUUCCAGGUAAAUCCGGUUCACUUUAACACUGAGGCGUGACGACGAGGCACUACGGUGCUGAAGCAACAAAUGCCCUGCUUCCAGGAAAAGCCUCUAAGCAUCAGGUAACAUCAAAUCGUACCCCAAACCGACACAGGUGGUCAGGUAGAGAAUACCAAGGCGCUUGAGAGAACUCGGGUGAAGGAACUAGGCAAAAUGGUGCCGUAACUUCGGGAGAAGGCACGCUGACACGUAGGUGAAGUGAUUUACUCAUGGAGCUGAAGUCAGUCGAAGAUACCAGCUGGCUGCAACUGUUUAUUAAAAACACAGCACUGUGCAAACACGAAAGUGGACGUAUACGGUGUGACGCCUGCCCGGUGCCGGAAGGUUAAUUGAUGGGGUCAGCGCAAGCGAAGCUCCUGAUCGAAGCCCCGGUAAACGGCGGCCGUAACUAUAACGGUCCUAAGGUAGCGAAAUUCCUUGUCGGGUAAGUUCCGACCUGCACGAAUGGCGUAAUGAUGGCCAGGCUGUCUCCACCCGAGACUCAGUGAAAUUGAACUCGCUGUGAAGAUGCAGUGUACCCGCGGCAAGACGGAAAGACCCCGUGAACCUUUACUAUAGCUUGACACUGAACAUUGAGCCUUGAUGUGUAGGAUAGGUGGGAGGCUUUGAAGUGUGGACGCCAGUCUGCAUGGAGCCGACCUUGAAAUACCACCCUUUAAUGUUUGAUGUUCUAACGUGGACCCGUGAUCCGGGUUGCGGACAGUGUCUGGUGGGUAGUUUGACUGGGGCGGUCUCCUCCUAAAGAGUAACGGAGGAGCACGAAGGUUGGCUAAUCCUGGUCGGACAUCAGGAGGUUAGUGCAAUGGCAUAAGCCAGCUUGACUGCGAGCGUGACGGCGCGAGCAGGUGCGAAAGCAGGUCAUAGUGAUCCGGUGGUUCUGAAUGGAAGGGCCAUCGCUCAACGGAUAAAAGGUACUCCGGGGAUAACAGGCUGAUACCGCCCAAGAGUUCAUAUCGACGGCGGUGUUUGGCACCUCGAUGUCGGCUCAUCACAUCCUGGGGCUGAAGUAGGUCCCAAGGGUAUGGCUGUUCGCCAUUUAAAGUGGUACGCGAGCUGGGUUUAGAACGUCGUGAGACAGUUCGGUCCCUAUCUGCCGUGGGCGCUGGAGAACUGAGGGGGGCUGCUCCUAGUACGAGAGGACCGGAGUGGACGCAUCACUGGUGUUCGGGUUGUCAUGCCAAUGGCACUGCCCGGUAGCUAAAUGCGGAAGAGAUAAGUGCUGAAAGCAUCUAAGCACGAAACUUGCCCCGAGAUGAGUUCUCCCUGAGACUUAGAGUCUCCUGAAGGAACGUUGAAGACGACGACGUUGAUAGGCCGGGUGUGUAAGCGCAGCGAUGCGUUGAGCUAACCGGUACUAAUGAACCGUGAGGCUUAACCUUACAACGCCGAAG
rnacentral:rRNA from 1 species